AUGCGCGGACCAAGAACCCUGCGCUCCCUGGUGGAGGACGGGAGCCUGGCCUUGAUAGGCCUCAGGACGCUGAAAGUAAAGCCUGGAGGGGCGGGGCUUAGGGGAGCCGAUAUCUGUAUGAAUAAUGGCCCUUCAGUGCAAAAAAUAAAAACAAAUUUUUUAAAAAGGGAGGAAAAAGAAAAAAAAAAAAAACAGAAUGAAAAGGGUAAAAAAGUCGAAGAGGCAGAGCCUGAAGAAUCUGUGGAAAAACUACUGGAUCCAAUUGUAGCAAAAGGGAAGGUGGAGCAUUUCCUGAAGUGGAAAGGAUGUCAGAUGUUGACAGUACUUGGGAACCCGCAAAAAAUUUAGAUUGUCCAGAGUUAAUUGAAACAUUUCUUAAUUCUCAAAAAGCUGGUAAAAAAAAAAAAAAAAAAAAAAAAAAAAGGUACAAAAAUAAAGAAAGUCUUUCUCUGACAGUGAAUCUAAUGACAUCAAAUCAAAGAAGAAAAGAGGUGCUGCCGGCAAACCAAGAAGCUUCACCAGAGAUCUUGAUCCUGAAAGAAUAAUUGGUGCCACAGGCAGCAGUGGAGAAUGGAUGUUUCUCCUGAAAUGGGAAUAUUCACAUCAGGCCUACUUGGUGCUAGCAAAAGAAGCAAAUAUGAAGUUUCUUGAAAUUGUAAUUGCUUUUUACAAAGAGAGAGUAAGUUGGCAUUUUUGUCCAGAUGAUGAAGCUUAAUUGUUUGUACUGCAAGAUAUAUAUAUAUAUAUAAUAUAAAUAUACACAUAAAUAUAUAUAUAAAUAUAUACAUAAAUCUGGGUCUUGGCUUUUAAUUAACUAGUGUGGAAAAAUACAUUCUAAUGAAAAUCAGUUUUGAUAUGUUCAUUUUAAAAGUAGUAUUGGGAGAGUUGGGUUUUUUUGGUGUGUGUGUUUUUUUUUCAUCAAUACCAUUGGUUACUUUGAAUAAAUAAAAGCUUUCUGUAAUUGCUUCCUUUAUCAUAAAAGAACAUUUGAUAUCAUGAUGUAUUAUUUCCUCUGCAUUGGAGAACAGCAUUUCUAAAUGUCGCGGAAAAUUUCCAUAGCCAUUACUCAAUCAGAACUUGUGUUCAGCCUAAGGAACACUCUGGGUUGUGUGUGUCUGUGUGUGUGUGUGUGUGCAUAAAAUGCAUGCGUAAAUGGCUUUUUGUGUUGUUUUUAAACAUUCACCAAAACAAAAAUCAUGGGUAAGCACAUGUUUCUGAGAUGCCAUCAUUCUGAGCAACCUAAGAAAUAAAUCACAUCAAAUUAAAUUCAAAAUUUUCCUGAAGCCAUACAUUUCAAAUAAAACAGAUGAUUCUAUAAUUAGUUGGAUAAUUUAAAUGAAUCAUUUAAAAGCAGCCAUAUAAGAAUCCCUAUCUACACCCUUGGUCAUAUAAAUGAACAGGCUGUUUGCAAAAUUCCUAAAAGGAAUAAUUUUAUUACUACCAACAACCUCCCCAACCAGAUGAGGGGACUAGACAGAUCCUGCUGUGUUUUAAUUAUCUAAACAAGACUUAGUUUAAUGGACAUUUAAAUAUUCCUCUAGCAAGCCAUUCCUUUACAAAAAGUUGAAAUCCCUGUGCUAUAUUGACUAAAAGGUAAUGAUUCAUGGUAUGUCUAAGAUGUGGCUUAUAGGAACCCAAUCAGAUGGUUGGAGAUUUGGCAGUUUAGAAUCUGCUGCCAUAAAUGGAUGAACAACUUUUAUAAUGUAUUGACUUGGAUAUUUUUUCUUCACCUUAACUCAUUCCUUACAUGUAGACUCAGUAUUUUCAAAAUUUGAUUUGCUGGUUCAGCAGAAACCAGGAUAAACAAUAACUUUGUAGUAAUCAGAAUGUUAUCCAAUUGUAUAUUGAUUCCUUUAUUGUAAAUAAAGGUGAAUAGUGGUGAAUAGUUUUACAUUACUUUAAAAAGCAACAACAGAUUUUGACCAUAUAUAUUUUAAAAAUAAAUCUGAACAAGGAAAAGUCUUUAGCCUCCUGAUUAUUUAUAUUCCUCAAACCACCAUAAGAACAUGGCACUGGGGAGAGACAGCAUCCAAUAUGUUACUGGCUUAGCAUUUCCUGUAUUAUCACACCCAUCACAUUAUAUUCCAGCUAUCUAUUACAUGAAUAUAUAUUUUUCUAUUAAAAUGGUUCCUUGAAGGCCAAUAGUAUGUUUUCAUCAUUGAUAUAAUUCUAGAAUCUGAUACAGUAUCUGAAACACAUAUGAGAGAAUGAACAUGUUUACUGAAUGACUGAAUGUGUUAUUGUACCCAGAAGAUAUGGUGAAGGAAUGUCCCUGAAUGGCAGGUGUGGAAUGAGAAGGGGAGAACUACACAAAGGAUGUCACCCAGGUGAAAAAUGUAUAAAUUGCCCAUAUUUCACUCUGUUAUGAAGUGGUAUUUACAGUUCCUUUUAAAAUUUGGUAUAAACAGUGAUGGGUGCUUUAAAAUCAAAAUGAUAAAAGUCUUAAUUCCAAUAGAAUUGGAAUUAGGAAUGUAGGAAAACAAAUGUAAUCAUAGCAUACUAUUUGGUUGAAUUGUAAAUAAUAUUGUAGUAGUGAAAACAAUACAAUUCCUAGAUGUGGAUUUGCCCCCAAAUAUGAUAAUACUAUACUGAGAAGUUGAAUGAAAGAACAGGGAAGCUGUAAGUGAGUUAAAAUCAUUAUUUAAAUAUGAGGAACUCUAGAGAUAAACUUGAUGAAUUAACAGAUAGUAAUAUUUGCCUAUUAUUUAGAAAUACAGAGCAAAAUAGCAGAAUAAAUAGCUAAAAGGGUUACAGUAGCUGAUAUAGGGGCAUAAGUCUUUUGUUAUAAGUCUUGGAUCACUCUUUGGCUUGUAAAAUAGCAUGCAUAUAUUAUUUGAUAAAAUUAAAUUAAUUAAAACAUAUGUUUAACACCUUAUGUGUAUGUGGAAAAAAGUAUAAGAAAAAGUACAAUGGAGACUAAAACAACACAAGUGAUCAAUCUAACAAUAAGAUUAUAGGUGAUUUUUAUUUUUGUUUUAUUCUAUUAUUAUUUUUCCAAAAUAAAAAAUGAAUGUCUUUUUACUGAUACAAGUAGAAAGCAUGCUACUAAAAGUACCUGAGGCAAUUAAUAGAUGACAUAACUAUAGGAAAUCCAUCAUCAGAUAAUGCAUAUUAAAAAAAAUAGCAUACUGCUAGAUAAGGAUUACAUAGAUUAAACCUCCCUGUGCAUCAACAAUUAACCUAAAAAUAAAUAUAAAGAAAAACAAAUCUCAUUAUCAAAAUCAACUGCAUAUUAAAGGCACAGAGUAGUUAAGGAGAAAUGUUUAAAUUUUAUGUAAAUAUAACUAUAGAAUCUAUUUAGGAGACUAUAAGAUUUGAGUAAAUGAGGAAGUUUAUACUGAAUAUCUGUUCAGUAAGAGCAAAUGAAUUCUUUCUAACAAAACAAUUCCUCUAUAGAAGUUGCUCUCUAUAAUGCAUAUAGAAGAUAUGUAUGUAGAACAUACACAGAAGAUACUACAAAUUUACUUUUUGACAUAGCAGAAAGAAGAGAGUGCAUCCGGGGCUUACCUUGCAGCAAGUCAUGGCUAUGUGACUCAAGUCUAGAGCAAAAAUAUAUGUAUAACUUUGGGGGAAGUUCCCUUAAAAAGAAAAAAUAUAUCUUUGACCAUUUACCUUUUCCUUUCUGACUAGCUAUAAUAUAGAUGGGUUGUUGGUGAACCAUCAUGGACUCUAUAAUCUAGGGUAAACCCUAGACCUUGAAAGUUACUGUUUUUAAUAUAUAUUAAAAUAAUUUUGAAAAUGGGACUACAAUACCUAGCUUAGAUUGCUGUUAGUGGCUUCAAUACACAGUACACUUACAAUGUCCAAAAAAGGCAGGAUACAUAGAGGCUAUAUAAUAAAUAUUUUCUUUUUUUUAAAGACUCAGCUCAAGUGUUUUCACAGCUUUUAAACACUAUUUCUACGUCAGUUCUGUUCUCCAGCUUCUCUUAUUAUUGCUCCACUUCAAUUCAUUCCAAGUGGUCUCAAUUUUUACUGUCACCAAGGGACUAUCUUUGAAACACUUUUACUUCUCAACGUCUUUAAACUAAAAUUCAGACUUUCUUUCUAAGCUAUCUGCUUUUGAGCCCCAAUAGUGCACCUUUUUGUUCUUUCCCAAUGUCAUAAUUUUUUUAUCAUCUUUCUCUAUGUGAAGUCCUAUUUUUCUUGUCAUCCAUUCUUUUCAGAAUAAUUAUGUAGAUUUUUGUUUUAUGUGCUGUCAUUUCCAAAGUGCAUUAACAUGCCCAUUUAUUCACAAAACAAACACAUGAAGUAGUUAGGGGCCAUUACUCUAAUGAAUUAGGAAUCUGCCUGGAGCUAUUAAACCAGACAAUGUAUAUAUAACCAUUGGUACAAUGUCUACCAUAUAGAAAACAAUUUACAACUGCUGUUGAUUCUUAUCAUGAUAAAAUAAUAAUUUCAUCAAUAUUUCAACUAAAUCAGCUUACAAUAGGAGGUUUUCUUUCCAAACUUGCUUCAGCUGCUGACUCAGCUCCAUCCUCUCUUCUGGAUUCUCAAACUAGUUUCUUUGCUGCCUUGUGACAUUUGGCACAAAUGUCCAUUUAUUAUGAUUAUAUCUAUUUAUAUAUAUCUUACUUUUCAAGCUUGUCACAAACUCUCAAAAACAAGUAUUAUGUCUUACAUGUUUUAUCUUUCAUUCUUCUAUUCAUUUAUUUAAAAAAAUCAAAUAUUCAUUGACAUACACUACCUGUCAGGGGACACUCUGUCUCAUUUACCUUUUCACCCUCAGCACCUGGCAGGUAAACAAAUCAUUUCAAGAGUAAUAUUCUGAUGAAGAUACAAAGGGAUCAUGGAGAAGAGACCUCCUACAUCUCUCUGUGAAGUCAAGGAAGGCACCAAGAAGACUGUCCCACUGAGUAAAAGAAUGAGUUAGACUCUGAGCAUGUAAUGUUGAUGGCAAUCCAUCCUAGGCAGAAAGGAACAGCAUGCACAGAGGUGUACACAUAGCCAAAAAGAGCUAUUGAACAAAUUCACAAAUGAUAGAAGUGUCAUCAAAUUCCAUUGGCAGAAUGGGGCACUGCAGUUACUAUGAGCAUUGUUUCCCCUUCUCAUUUUUGAAACCAAAUUUCCAGGUCUUUUUUAAUGUAUGGGAAGAAAGAUGCUCUCAACAGAGAACUUUUCUGCUACCCAGAAAGCAAGAUUACAUUUAUCAACAACAUUGAGGAUAUAACCCUUCAUUGCCAAAGCUUUUUGGCCUCACCUUGUAAAUUAGUUAUACAUACAAGAAAAUUACCUGCUACUCAAUUUUCUAAAGAAUCACUAAAUUCAAUUAUAAGAGAAUGUUUUAUAAAUGGCAGAAAUCAGCUGCCCUUUUACAGAAAUCACUUAAGUAAUUAUAAGCAUGAGUACCUACCUGGAUGAUGAAUAAUAAUCCCUUUGAACAAAAUUAUAUCAAGACAUUUAAAAUAAUUUUUAAGUAAGCUUAAAAUUUGGCUAUGAAUAGAGAUAAAUUUUAAACUUCUUGAAAGUACAACAGAAGCAACAAUAUGGAAAAAUUCAUAAAACAGAAAAUAGGCAAUUGCUGUUACUUAGUUUAGCUAUUUUGUUUUGUUUUGUUUUACUUUACUUUGUUUUUAGAGAUGAGUCUUGCUGUGUUGCCCAAAUUGGCCUCACAUUCCUGGGUUUAAGUGAACCUCCUGUCUCAGCCUCCCAAGUAUCUGCUGUUGGUUAUUUUAAAGUCAAACUUCUCUAAAAUUAACUUUGUAAAUUCAAAGCUGUAUGAAAAUUACUCUAAAGCAUUCAAAUAAAUUUUGUUUAUUUAAAUUUAAUUGGAAAUAAAUAAUACCUUCAAGCCUCAAA